rnacentral:rRNA from 1 species
AGAGUUUGAUCCUGGCUCAGAUUGAACGCUGGCGGCAGGCCUAACACAUGCAAGUCGAACGGUAGCACAGAGAAGCUUGCUUCUUGGGUGACGAGUGGCGGACGGGUGAGUAAUGUCUGGGAAACUGCCCGAUGGAGGGGGAUAACUACUGGAAACGGUAGCUAAUACCGCAUAACGUCUUCGGACCAAAGUGGGGGACCUUCGGGCCUCACGCCAUCGGAUGUGCCCAGAUGGGAUUAGCUAGUAGGUGGGGUAACGGCUCACCUAGGCGACGAUCCCUAGCUGGUCUGAGAGGAUGACCAGCCACACUGGAACUGAGACACGGUCCAGACUCCUACGGGAGGCAGCAGUGGGGAAUAUUGCACAAUGGGCGCAAGCCUGAUGCAGCCAUGCCGCGUGUAUGAAGAAGGCCUUCGGGUUGUAAAGUACUUUCAGCGGGGAGGAAGGCGAUGCGGUUAAUAACCGCGUCGAU